ACCCAGGAGGCAAAUGAGCAACCGUGAUUCAGUGCACGGCUAGGGUGUGAUGGAGCCGGACUGGAACCCAGGGGUCCUAACCGCAGCUCACCCCUGAUCAGUGAGAGGUUUGGGGGAGGGGUGGGGGCUCAGCGUAGAAAGUUGCCCUUGGCAACCCCCUCCCCAGCAUUCCAGCCUCCUCUCAGCAACCCCAGCUCCCAGGGCCUGUCGCUCCAUCCCUAGCAGCGCCCCGGGCUCUCAGACCUCAACACCCUGCAUUUUGGCCUCCAGGCUUGGUGUUUGGUCUUAGUGACCUCAGUCCUCCACUCCAUCCCCAGGAGCCUCCGGAAUUCCAUCCUACCUGGAGCGGACGCUUGCCCUCUGCCGCCUGCCUGGCAUCCCAUCCUGCCUAGUAAGCUCUAGCACCAACGUGGGGCUUGAACUCACAACACCAAGAUCAAGAGUCUCAUGCUCUGUGGGCCUGAGCCAACCAGGCUAGUGAUAUGCAGUAUGUUACCCUCUCAGGAUGCUGGGAAUUGGCAGCAAACUGCAAUUGUGAUCAGCCCUGUGAUCAUGAGGGUAAACAACAGAAGAAAUGCUACUACAUCCAAUCUUCUUGCAAACACAAGCUCCUGACUGGCAAGCUUCUCAGAUCUUGUACCUGAAUAAAACUGGGGCCCUCUAAGCCAGGAAGAAGGGCUUGGUUGUGGGGUGAGCGACACGUCCACGGGCUCAGGGACACUCUAUCUCCAUCUUCAGUAACUUUGAGCAUCGAGUGGAACCUCUAUGUCUCCCGAACCCCCCUGGGGGGCUCCAGCCCUGCCUUUGGUCAGUGGAAUCCUCUGUCAUUGCUCCACACCCAGCAUGGAGCCCAACGCAGGGUUUGAACUCACAAUCCUGAGAUCAAGACCUGAGCUGAGAUCAAGAGUCUGAGGUUUAACGACUGAGCCCCCCAGGUGCCCUUUACCAUUCUUUCAAGGAAAACACGUGGCUCUUUACAUAAAAAGGUUCGUGUUGGUGCGACUUAAAAAUCUCUGUAGCGUGCUCUCCUUCUUGGGAUAUGAUGUCCUGGGAAGAAAUAAGUCAUGACUUUGAGAUUGGUUGGUCAAGGGUGGAAAACUGGCCCAGAGAUGUAGAAAGGACAGGGAUGAUUGGGCGGGUACCUGAAAGGAUGCAGCAAGGCCCAAGCCCCCGAGGGUUGGAGACACAAGCGUUUGAUGUCGUGUCAUAGUGUUGGGGAGUUGGGGGUGCCUUUGGACAUCUUUGGACAGCAACAUC